AGGGGCAGCAUGAACUUAGCUUGCUGAGUUUGAUGGCGACCGGCGCACGGGUGAGUAACACGUAUCCAACCUGCCGAUGACUCGGGGAUAGCCUUUCGAAAGAAAGAUUAAUACCCGAUGGCAUAGUUCUUCCGCAUGGUAGAACUAUUAAAGGUAUUCCGGUAGACGAUGGGGAUGCGUUCCAUUAGGCAGUUGGUGAGGUAACGGCUCACCAAACCUUCGAUGGAUAGGGGUUCUGAGAGGAAGGUCCCCACAUUGGAACUGAGACACGGUCCAAACUCC
rnacentral:rRNA from 1 species